CCUACGGGUGGCAGCAGUCGAGAAUCAUUCACAAUGGGGGAAACCCUGAUGGUGCGACGCCGCGUGGGGGAAUGAAGGUCUUCGGAUUGUAAACCCCUGUCAUGUGGGAGCAAAUUAAAAAGAUAGUACCACAAGAGGAAGAGACGGCUAACUCUGUGCCAGCAGCCGCGGUAAUACAGAGGUCUCAAGCGUUGUUCGGAAUCACUGGGCGUAAGGCGUGCUUAGGCUGUUUCGUAAGUCGUGUGUGAAAGGCGCGGGCUCAACCCGCGGACGGAACAUGAUACUGCGAGACUAGAGUAAUGGAGGGGGAACCGGAAGUCUCGGUGUAGCAGUGAAAUGCGUAGAUAUCGAGAGGAACACUCGUGGCGAAGGCGGGUUCCUGGACAUUAACUGACGCUGAGGCACGAAGGCCAGGGGAGCGAAAGGGAUUAGAUACCCCUGUAGUC
rnacentral:rRNA from 1 species